ACCCUGUUUUUAUCCACAACGGCCGCCCAGUUUCCGAAUCCAUCUUCGCCGUCCAGUACAUGGACGAAGUCUGACCCACAAAUUCCCCUCUGACCCUUGUCAUAGAGCUCAGGCUUGCAUCUGGACUGAUUAUGUCGACAAAAAGGUUUAUUCUUCUUCAAGGAAGUUGUGGACAACUAAAGAGGAUGAACAGGAAUCAGGCAGGACGGAAUUCAUAGAUACUCUGAAAAUAUUGGAGAAAUAGCUGGGAGACAGGCAGCAAUUCAAUUGAGCAUCAAACAAUCAAAGAAACAGAGAGCAAGACUGAUUGUGAAGGUCUUUGAACAGAAAAAGGGGAUUGAUUUUGAAGAGAUCUUAUCACCAGUUGUGAAGAGGUCAUUCAUCAGAGUUGUGUUAGCAUUGACUGCUAGUAAAAAUUUAGAAAUUGAACAACUGGAUGUGAAGACUGCAUUUCUCCAUGAUGACUUGGAGAAAGAGAUUUAUAUGGAACAACCCGAGAGUUUCAAAGUUAAAGGUAAAGAAGAUUUUGUCUGCAGGUUGAGGAACAAAUUUAGGAUAGAGUAGAUGAUCCGCGAAAAGAUUAUUUCUUUGUACAUGUUGUUUUGUGUUAGAAAUCUCUUCUUUGAUAUUAUCCAAUGUUGUUACCACAUCUUCAAUUACUUGACCCAUGUGGUAACACUUUCUAGAUCUCGAUCCAAAUCUAGAUUAGAAACAUUGGAAACGUAUUUUGUUUGUUAGGUAUAUCAACACUUUUGGAAACACAUAAACUGUAAGUGUUUUCGUUGGUGCUUGGUUCUGAUUCUCUCCUAGUCCCCCUAAAAUGUUUGGGGAGUUUAUGGUCAGAUCUCUUUGGGAUUGGGAUAUGGUUUUGUUGUUUUUGAUUAAACAACG